UUGGAGGGCAAGUCUGGUGCCAGCAGCCGCGGUAAUUCCAGCUCCAAUAGCGUAUAUUAAAGUUGUUGCAGUUAAAAAGCUCGUAGUUGAAUUUCGGGAUUCUACCGUUGGUCAGGCUAACAAGUCUGUACUAGUGAGUAGAAUUCCUACCUUCUGGGGAACUAUCAUGUUAUUUAUUUAGCGUGGUGGGAAACCAGGACCUUUACCUUGAAAAAAUUAGAGUGUUCAAAGCAGGCUUACGUCUGAAUACAUUAGCAUGGAAUAAUAAAAUAGGACGGUGGUCCUGUUUUGUUGGUUUCUGAAUCACCGUAAUGAUUAAUAGGGAUAGUUGGGGGCAUUAGUAUUCAAUUGUCAGAGGUGAAAUUCUUGGAUUUAUUGAAGACUAACUUCUGCGAAAGCAUUUGCCAAGGAUGUUUUCAUUAAUCAAGAACGAAAGUUAGGGGAUCGAAGACGAUCAGAUACCGUCGUAGUCUUAACCAUAAACUAUGCCGACUAGGGAUCGGACGAUGUUAAAUUUUAUUGACUCGUUCGGCACCUUACGGGAAACCAAAG
rnacentral:rRNA from 1 species